CAGGAACUUCAGAAGCGAAGCAGAUUGAACUCAUUGUAAAGUUGCUAGGCACUCCUACCGAAAAAAUAUGGCCUGAAUUUCCUACUCUUCCAUUGGUUGAAAAAAUUGAGUGGCCCGAUCAGCCAUAUUCACAUAUAAAUCAAAAGUUUUACUUUUUGGCAGCAAAAAGUUUGGGAUCGGAUUUGAUCAGCAAACUUUUAACAUACGAUCCAAAAAGAAGAUUAACGGCACGUGCAGCACUGAACCAUAAAUAUUUUCGCGAACUUCCCUUGCCCACUGAGCGCGGGUUACUUCCAACAUUUCCUGAACAUCGUAACCGAAAUGUUAGCCAAAGCCGAAGGGAUCAAACGUUAUUAAAUAAUAAACCUCAAGAAAAAAAUAUUGCAAAUUUCAAACAAAAUAAAUUCAAGCGCAGGAACAUUUUUGAUUAAUUAC